UUACAAAUAGAAUUACAAUGUACAAAAGAAUCAUAUGAACCAAAUGAAAAAUCAACAUGUUAAAACUUAAAACCUUAAAACCCCCUUAUCCCCCUUCGUACUCUUUAUCUAAAUCUUUCUUUGUACACCCUUUCAAGUUUCAACUCCAAUCAGACUUUAACUGAAGUCCCAAAUGUCUGAAUCAGUUCAGUUUGGUGCUUCCACAAGUGCUUCGACUUCAGAAAUAGAAAAUGGUCUCCUGGUUCUAAGUUGUGAAGCCUCUAGAGUCAUUGAUGUGAUUGGUAUAGUAGAUUUUGUAUCCACCACUAUUUCUUCUUUAUUUUUUUUCAAUUAUUCAAUCUUUCAGCUUCCUUAUCUUGUUCAUCAUUAGCUGGAUCAAAUAAAAUCACUGUGUGAAAAGAAAUACAUACAUCCUUAAAAUAAAAUACAGAAAAAGAGAUAGAUACACUUUGACUUUUUCUGGUCAACCAUCAUACAUUUCAAAUUCAAAAGAAACAAGGUACAUAGAUUAACUUUUAUCAUUGCUUCAAAACCAAGUGCCAUUACAAUGCAAGCAUACAGAUCAAUAAACAUGUCUUAGUUGUUUUCAAGUAGGCUAGGUGAGACGUGUUUUGUCAAAGCAAUACUUCUACUUUCUACUUUCCCUAACAUGUUAUUCUUGUUAAAGCUAUGCUUGAUAUACCCAUUCUUCAUAAGAACUUAUGCUUUUUACGCCAUAAUGAAAAAAAAAUUCACUAAGGCAUUUAAUCAAACACCUCGUCUACAUUCCUAGAAACAUCUCUGAAAUAAGAUGAAUAUAUAGAAAACACCUUAGAAAUAAACCAACUAUCGAUCAAACAUCUUAAUCUAAUGAAAUUUCAGCUGAUGGGUAAGUAGAACCGAUUUAAAAAGCUAAAAUCGAAAAACGAUCUCACUUUGCCAUGUGAUUAACCAAAAAAAUUAAUAAAGAUAGGAUGAAAAAAACCUCAAAUGGAAAUAAGAUGCAUUUCUUCGUGGUUGAAUAUGUUGGGAAGAAUUGAAGGACUCACAGCAAUGUAUACAUACGAUAUCAUUAAAUCUGUCUUCUGAGUUCUCAAUAGACGUG
rnacentral:lncRNA from 1 species